UCAGCGCCCUCAGCUGACGCAAGUGUCGCCUACUGUGAGGUUGCCAAGGAGAAACGUCUCUCAUACAAAACUCUUAAAAUGAAAGUCGCGAACAGUGCCACGUCGGCACGGCCAUUCCAAUUGUUCACAGUGUUUCGAAAGGGCAUUUUGACAGUCCCGGGCCACAAAAGCAGUUAGGAGGAGGAACCGCAUCAUCGGCAGUACCGCACAGUCGAGGUUGGAGUGAAGGAAAAUCAAGGCAUGCACCAUAGGACAUGACCAGGGGCCUAGCCGGAGGGAGGGGGGGGGGGGGGGGGCGCAUUGAGAACAUGAGCACUCCCCUGAAAUUUUUUUGUACCAGGGUGCUCGUUGCCCAGCUCCCCCCCACCCCUGGUCUGGUCAGGUGUGUGCCCCCCCUCCCUGCAAUUGCUGGCUAUGCCACUGGACGUGACAGUGAAUAGCGUCCGUUUCUGCAUUCCAUCCUCAUCUGUAUGGUGCUGUUGACAAUGGAUCAUUUAGCAUUUUACCACAUUUACCGUUGUUAGGAGGAGAAACUUACCAUUUCAGGCAAGCAGCCAGGUCAUGUCACGUGUAGGAAAGUGCAUAGAAUGGCAUGGAUGACAACCAGUGACAUUGAAAAGGGAAUCGUAGGGGGCGUUAGUUACACUCCCACUCUGCACCUUUGCAGAAUAACUGCCUCUGCCGCUGGUGCUUUAGAAGGACUGUGCAGUGGCAGUAGAGAAAGUGUAGUCCACAUUUCCUGGGACUGUUCACACGAAGCAUUUUACUCAUGGGUUACUGCAGUUGUGCGACCUUCUUGACUUCAAUUGAGUUGACCCACGGGUAAAAUGUUUCAUGUGAGAAGCCCCCUGGAGUUUCUUCCUAAGCCAAAACAUGCAGGUGGGACUUUUGUUAGGCUCACCAGGGGUCAGUUUGUUAGCAUGCACAGGGAACUGUUGCUAGGCAAAUGUGAAAGGUCCGAUAAUGCGGCAGUCCAUGUUAGCUGGAUUCUCGUGUCACCUCUGUCCAUACCUUGCUUAACCAGUAUUGUAUUUACAAGAAUUACUAUUUUUUCUCUGCCCUUUCUGUCUGCCAUGUCCACGCCUGCUUUUGUCAGCAGUGGGAGAGGCAAGUUCGCUGCACUGGCCCUUCUGAAGGGAAAAUCUAUUGACGAAGCUGUGCUCCUCAGUAUGCACAGCUGCUAUUACAUUGCCACAAAAGUAACCUUGCUCAUAUACGUCCAGGAGUCUUAAUUCACGUAUGGUUGUGUUGCUCAGUGGCAUACUUAGCUCUUCCACCUAAGCCGCUGGCUUGCUUGCAGUCGAGGUUUACACAAAGGUCAACUUACUGCUCCUUUUAGCACUUCACAAUGCCUUUUUACUGUCACUGUUACAUGCAGCACAUUACUAUUACGUCUUGAACAAACUAAAAGUAUUCAUUGCUUGCGCUGAUGUCGGGGGCCAAAAAUAGAAAUUCUGCAUUCCUUCACACCAUUAGCACGUGUGAACAAGACUGGCAUUAACCAUGAUAUGACAGCACUGUUACAACGGUGUUGACGUUUAAGUAGUGUUUGACAAGUAUCUGACUAGUAAUUGACAGUGAGGGAACACAUGACCUAUAAUACCCUCCACAUUCAUCAUAAUCAAAAUCUUUAGAAUAAGAUUGUGUGAAUUUUCCACACUUGCUGCGAGAAAAGUUUGCAUGUAGUUUACGAGUUUCUUCGCUGCACGCUAUGUGCAUUCUCUGCCCCUUGUCGCAUUUUGUGGUUAUUUCAACUCGCCGCAGUGGCUGUAUGGCUACGACAUUUUACUGCUGAGCUUGAAGUCGGGGCUUCGAUUUCCGACCGCAGUGGCCACAUUCCAGUGUACGUGGAAUGCAAGAAUUCUUAUGUACUAAGAUUUUCAGUACACAUAGCCCCAGCUGGUUGAGGUUAAUUCAAAGGCCCCCACUAGGGCGUGCCCCAUUGUCAAAUUGCCUUACCAUGUUAAAGGGACACUAAAGGCAAAUACUAAGUCAAGCUAAAGUGAUGGAUUAGUGCUCGAGUAUCUCUAAGGCGUCAAUAUUAUCGCGUACAGAGCCUUAGUAAUCGAGAAAUUGAGGUAAAUGCAAGACACGAUUAGAGACUCCCCCGGGACAUUGAAGUACUUGCCCGAUGACGAAGGCACUCCUCAUUUAAAUUGUGUCACUAGUACUCAACCACUCGUUAUAAAACCAUCAUUGCACUGUAUAUAAGACGAAAGAAAAUGCUGCUUGACCAGUUCUAUUUUAUUUUUAGAAAAAAGAACUCAUUGACAUUACACCGUUGACAACGACGCGGGCGGUCGAAAGGUUUCGUUUUUGCUCGACUCUACGCCGCCCGCGCUUUCGCGUUUCAGUAGUUCUGUUAUCACGUAGUGCUGCGCUGGUUUUGCUGGCGCGUUAAACUCGCACGAACUGCAAGUAGUAGAGAAAUCCACUUCCAUGUGAUGUCGCGGGAUGCCCGAAUGGUCCACGCCACUUGACCAAAACCAACUGCAGCGGCUCAUCAUACCGCUGUCUGUCGAGCGCUGUUUUACUCACCGACAGCAGCAAAUGGCGAUGAUGACGUAUGCAACGUCACCACUCCCCGGUUGGCGUGGCGGGAGAUUUGAAUUGCCAUGCAAGUAUUCGAAGCCCUUCAGAUGCAAUUUUCUCGUAAACGAAGUUUUUUCAUUGCACGAAACAAGCGUUGAGAGGUUUCUUGAAUGGUAUUUAAACAGUCCACGUUGAUUUAGUAUUUGCCUUUAGUGUUAAGUCCCAUGAAUUAAUGCAGUCAUUCAGUCUUUUAUCAUGUAAUUAAUUCAGUUCUUUUUUUUUUUUCUCUUUUUUUGUAUUAGUCUUGGCGUUUCAAAAGCACCUAUGUUGCAAGAGUGACUGCGGAGGCCAGUGAUGUUGCGUUAUGCUAAAACAUAAGUAAACUUUUAGCAUAGCACAACACCAUUGGCGCAAUCGCGAUCAGUAUUACAGCUAACUGGUUGCUCUAGCGCAGGUUGUGUUUUUUUUUUUUUUAUCAAAGGAACGGUGGCAUCUGUCAUCCCAGUGAUACAAGUUUGUCCUUCUUAGGACAAAUGACGCCACAUUUACUUACUAUUAGAAAACCAAUUAGUAGGAACCAGACGCACCACCAAGUGGUACUAACUCUUGGCAAAGUUCGAGUGUGAGCAGACCAGCAGUUUUAUUGGCAGGGCGAUCUAUGCCUAUUUGCCUGAGCAAAACCUAAUGCCAAUUGCUAGAGGGGCUUAUUUCACUUGUAUCAUCUCCCUGUUGUGAUUACAUAACAAUGUGAUGCAUUAGCAGAGACAUGUUGAAAUUUGUACCCAUUUGCAUAGUUUUCAAUUGCACACGGCUCCACUCCAUGUAGCUGCUGCGAGUUGCUUCAAGCGACAGUAUUGGCGGUAGUGUUGCUAGAAUUGCUGCCACUCUUCCAGAGUUAUACUACGCUGAUGCAACAAAUUUGUCGAACAACAUAUUAACAUCCUUUUGACACUAUGCACUAUCUGUAAGAAAUGCUAAGAGCACUCCACUUCUAACCUGAUAUAGGCAUUGCAUUUAUUAUUUCAGCUGAGUGCAUGCACCGAGUAUAUCUGCUGGUGAAAUUUCCAUAGGUGCACAACUGAUUAUCAGUAUCCUUUCACCAACUCUUUAGCGGUUAGUGUCUUAACACGGUAUUCAACUUCAGCUUAAUCAGACUUUCUGGACUGUAGUCUUUUGACGCAGACAACAGCGCUAGGCCAGGGCUUACCGAACUCAUAUUUGACAGUGCAGCCAGUGCCACCUGUCACAGGUGCUGCAAAGCAGUGAGUUCUCGCCUGCCUGCUGCGGUGGGUCACAACGGGCAUGUCAUGCAAAAUGCUUGAAUGUGACGAAGAAGGGGAAUCGAGGGGCUCAAUUUUUUUAAUACUGACAACCAUAUGAAGCCAACAGAUAAUGAAGCCAAGGGAAGCACGGGGGAAAUUAUUUGUAGUUUUAAUUGAAGUGUAGAAAUGAUAAGUUAAAGGAAAAUGAAAGUGAGCAAACGAAACACAACUUGCCACCGGUGGGAGCCGAACCCACAACCUCCACUUGUUCACUUAACCCAUUCGCUUCCACAGCUGGUGGUCCACCGGCUGCUCAAAGAAUGGCUGUUUCUGGCUAUUUUUCAUAGAUGGCAGCACAUUAGAGGCUUUUUUUUCUAGUUGUUUUGGGUUUCGCGCACUAGGUGGACAUAUUUGUCUACACUUUCAGCAGGAGUUGUUUGUGAAACAAUGGAAAGCUUCCUGUUCGCCAGACUCCGCUCUGUUGUUAUAGCCGUUGCAACCAGUACUAGAUUCGAAAAAAAAGCGUACAGGCUUCUGAGUGGGCUCAUUUUCUUCAGCACAUACCAUCGUAAACUGUGAAACAGAAUCAUUCGAUGCAGUGCUUAGUUUAUGAGGGCCUAGUUAAAAAGCCCAAGAGGCAUUUUGGGUGCAAAAAAAUGCAGAAGUGCACUCCGCGUUCCUGACGUUGUUUUAAACUAUUUUAUGCUCACUUUAUAGUUUUUUUUAACUGCAUCUGACAUAGAAGCCUUUUUUGAACAAUAUAAAUCAGACAUUUUGUAAAUGCGAUGCCUUUAGCCGAUUUUAGAGCAAUUUUCUUACAACGCGGAACACGCUCAGUGAAGCAGGAAAAUGUGCCACAGAACACCAGGCGUGGCGGAGCGCUGAGCGGGCGGAAGCGAAGGGUUUAAACACUGCCUCUAAAGGCAGCCUCUCUUUUUUUGCAUUUAUUUUGACAACUAGCACUUGUUUAAAGGCUAGCACUGUACAUGAAGCAAAUACAGUUUGUGAUGAGCGCAAGCUAUCAACUGAUUUUAUUUUGAUCGAGAAGCAUGAAAUCAAAUGCCAUGCAGUGUGCAUUAACAAGUCAUGUGGAAACUUAAUUAUUUUGGUAGCGGUUCAUGCGCACAUAACCUCACAUUUGGGGUACAUUGAGGCUUCUUACACACACAUUAAAAAAAUUAAUGUUUUGUCACGAAGGCAGAGGACCUGCGCAGCACAGAAAUGUGAGAAGCGUACCUAAUUGCGCGUAAGAAGAAAUGGAUGCUUGAGUAUCUCGUCAUUUGCCUCAACAAAUCCAGAAUUUGUUUGCGCACUUCAAGCCCACUGCAUUACUACACAUGAUCCGUCCUCUCAGGCAGGAACCUGUGCAGCAUAAUGGUCAAUUUGUUGCUACCAAACACCAGAAAGUCAGUUGAUAGUUUGCGCUUGUCACGUACUGUAUUUCCUUUGUGUAUUUUGUCAGUUGGGAGGUCAUAAGUCAGUGGAAUAAAAUGGACUGACUAGCACUUUUCCCUCCAUUGCCGAGCCCUGCAUUGUUUCACACUGCGCAGCACGUAGCAAGCCAGAACCAUUGAGUGGCAGCCCUUGUAGCUGAUGGUGCAGCCCACGUUUCCAGUUUUAACGGCAUCUCUCAUAUUCAUAAUGCCAUGGUCAGGGGUAGCUUAAGGAAGCUUCUUAUAUUGAAUCUCUCUCUGAACACAUCUUUAGAACACUACUUCUCUUAAGGAAUUUGUAAGCGGGCAUUUUAUGUGCUCAGAUUACGCAUCGCCAACUAGAUCAAAACUACUCAACAUUCUUUUCGAAGCAGGGUUUUUAUCGCAUUGCCCGAGAAGUGCAGGUUCUCCAAAGCUAGGCCAAAGUGUAACGGGGCCCAUGCUUUUGUUGUGUCAAAAAGCGAACCACUGUGACCAAUAAAAGUUGCUUUUUUCCAUUUCAA